GGGUUGUGAGGUUAAGCGACUAAGCGUACACGGUGGAUGCCCUGGCAGUCAGAGGCGAUGAAGGGCGUGCUAAUCUGCGAUAAGCGCCGGUAAGGUGAUAUGAACCGUUAUAACCGGCGAUACCCGAAUGGGGAAACCCAGUGUGACUCGUCACACUAUCAUUAACUGAAUCCAUAGGUUAAUGAGGCGAACCGGGGGAACUGAAACAUCUAAGUACCCCGAGGAAAAGAAAUCAACCGAGAUUCCCCCAGUAGCGGCGAGCGAACGGGGAGGAGCCCAGAGCCUGAAUCAGCAUGUGUGUUAGUGGAAGCGUCUGGAAAGGCGCGCGAUACAGGGUGACAGCCCCGUACACAAAAGCGCAUGUGCUGUGAGCUCGAUGAGUAGGGCGGGACACGUGGUAUCCUGUCUGAAUAUGGGGGGACCAUCCUCCAAGGCUAAAUACUCCUGACUGACCGAUAGUGAACCAGUACCGUGAGGGAAAGGCGAAAAGAACCCCGGCGAGGGGAGUGAAAAAGAACCUGAAACCGUGUACGUACAAGCAGUGGGAGCACCCUUCGGGGUGUGACUGCGUACCUUUUGUAUAAUGGGUCAGCGACUUAUAUUCUGUAGCAAGGUUAACCGAAU
rnacentral:rRNA from 1 species